rnacentral:rRNA from 1 species
GACGUAGGGGGCAAGCGUUGUUCGGAAUUACUGGGCGUAAAGCGCACGUAGGCGGCUUUGUAAGUUAGAGGUGAAAGCCCGGGGCUCAACUCCGGAAUUGCCUUUAAGACUGCAUCGCUAGAAUUGUGGAGAGGUAAGUGGAAUUCCGAGUGUAGAGGUGAAAUUCGUAGAUAUUCGGAAGAACACCAGUGGCGAAGGCGACUUACUGGACACAUAUUGACGCUGAGGUGCGAAAGCGUGGGGAGCAAACAGG